GACGUAGGGCGCGAGCGUUGUCCGGAUUUAUUGGGCGUAAAGAGCUCGUAGGCGGUCUGCCGCGUCGGCUGUGAAAACUCGGGGCUCAACCCCGAGCCUGCAGUCGAUACGGGCAGACUAGAGUGCUGUAGGGGAGACUGGAAUUCCUGGUGUAGCGGUGAAAUGCGCAGAUAUCAGGAGGAACACCGGUGGCGAAGGCGGGUCUCUGGGCAGUAACUGACGCUGAGGAGCGAAAGCGUGGGGAGCGAACAGG
rnacentral:rRNA from 1 species